rnacentral:rRNA from 1 species
UACGUAGGGAGCGAGCGUUGUCCGGAAUCAUUGGGCGUAAAGAGCACGUAGGUGGAUCAAUUAGUCUGCUGUGAAAGUCAAAGGCUCAACCUUUGAAAGCCGGUGGAUACUGUUGAUCUAGAGUACGGAAGAGGCGAGUGGAAUUCCUGGUGUAGCGGUGGAAUGCGCAGAUAUCAGGAGGAACACCAAUAGCGAAGGCAGCUCGCUGGGAUGUAACUGACACUGAGGUGCGAAAGCGUGGGGAGCAAACAGG